CCAACCUGCGGCCGACUCCAACUCGAUCGGCCACCACGGCGUCACCGCCGACAUCGUCGGCGUCUCCGCCCUAGCCCAGGACCUCUAUAACUUUGAGAUCACCAACCAGGUUCCUCAAGGAUUAGGUAAGCAUGUUGUCUCAUCCAGAAAAGCCCAAAUCAACUGGUACAAGAAACUCUCUGAUGCGUGGAGAGAAACCAAACCACCUCCAAUAAAUUCAAUUUACACACACACCUCGUUUGAUGCAAAUAACAUUUAAUGUUCACAUUCAAAAUUUUCUAUGAAAAACGCACAAACACACUUGUGUGUGUAUGUGUGUGUGUGUUAAAUGCUUACUUUGACAAUUGGCUUGGAUUUGGAUGAGAAUUCAGAAG